AUCCCUGCAGAGAAACAGCCUUUACCAGGCAUGGGUUCAGUAUCCAAGCCUGAGCAAAGAGAUUGCUCUUAAAGUUUGUCAUAAGGGCACCGCUUAACUUUUCUCUGGCUGCCGGUUGACCUUAUGUCUCACCAUAUCUUUUCCCAACAUGGAAACAGUGGCAAUAAAUUUAUCUGAUGUUGACUUGAGUAAAUAUAUCACCACUGUUGCUGGAGUCAUGACACUAAGUCAAGUUAAAAGCUUUGUUCGAAAGAAUGGUGUCAAUGAAGCCAAAAUAGAUGAGAUCAAGAAUGACAAUGUCCAAGACACAGCAGAACAGAAAGUUCAACUGCUUCGUAAUUGGCAUCAACUUCAUGGAAAGAAAGAUGCGUAUGACGCAUUGAUUAAAGGUCUCAAAAAAGCCAAUCUUUGUACUCUUGCAGAGAAAAUUCAGACUAUCAUCCUCAAGGACAUUACUAGUGACUCAGAAAAUUCAAACUUCAGAAAUGAAACCCAAAGCUUGGUCUAGAGUGAAAAACAACAAAUUCAGUUCUGAGUAUAUGCAAUUAGUGUUUGAAAAGAUUCUUAAUAGCUGGCUGUAAAUACUGCUUGGUUUUUUACUGGGUAUAUUUUAUCAUUUAUUAGCGCUGAAGAGCCAACAUAUUUAUAGAUUUUUAAUAUCUGAUGAUUCUGCCUCCAAGGAUGUUUAAAAUCUAGUUGGGAAGACAAACAUCAUCAAGAGUAAAUGCAGUGGCAUGCUAAGUGCCCAAAUAGGAGUGUAUGCAGAGGAUGAAAGAUUAAGAUUAUGCUCUGGUAUCUAACAUAUGAUUCUGUAGUAUGAAUGUAAUCAGUGUAUGUUAGUACAAAUGUCUAUCCACAGGCUAACUCCACUCCGUGAAUCAACAGAAGAAGCUAUGACCUUUUGUUGAAAUAUCAGUUACUGAACAGGCCACUUUGCCUCUAAAUUACCUCUGAUAAUUCUAGAGAUUUUACCAUAUUUCUAAACUUUGUUUAUAACUUUAAGAAGAUCAUAUUUAUGUAAAGUGUAUGUAUUUGAAUGCAGAAUUUAAAUAAGGCUCUACCUCAAAGACCUUUGCACAGAUUAUUGGUGUCAUAUUAUACAAUAUUUCAAUUGUGAAUUCACAUAGAAAACAUUAAAUUAUAAUGUUUGACUAUUAUAUAUGUGUAUGCAUUUUACUGGCUCAAAAUUACCUACUUCUUUCUCAGGUAUCAAAAGCAUUUUGAGCAGGAGAGUAUUACUAGAGCUUUGCCACCUCUCCAUUUUCACCUUGGUGCUCAUCUUAAUGGCCUAAUGCACCCCCAAACAUGGAAGUAUCACCAAAAAAAUACUUAAUAGUCCACCAAAAGGCAAGACUGCCUUAGAAAUUCUAGCCUGGUUUGGAGAUACUAACUGCUCUCAGAGAAAGUAACUUUGUGACAUAUCAUGAACCCAUGUUUGCAAUCUAAGAUGAUAAAAUAGAUUCUUAUUUUUCCCCCACCCCUGAAAAUGUUCAAUAAUGUCCCACGUAAAACCUGCUACAAAUGGCAGCUUAUACAUAGCAAUGGUAAAAUCAUCAUCUGGAUUUAGGAAUUGCUCUUGUCAUGCCCUGAAGUUU
rnacentral:sRNA from 1 species